CAGUAGCCGCGGGAAAACGGAGGGUGCAAGCGUUAAUCGGAAUUACUGGGCGUAAAGCGUGCGUAGGCGGUUUGUUAAGUCUGUUGUGAAAUCCCCGGGCUCAACCUGGGAAUGGCAAUGGAUACUGGCAAGCUAGAGUGUGUCAGAGGAUGGUGGAAUUCCCGGUGUAGCGGUGAAAUGCGUAGAGAUCGGAAGGAACAUCUGUGGCGAAGGCGACUAUCUGGGCCAACACUGACGCUGAGGCACGAAAGCGUGGGGAGCAAACAGGAUUAGAUACCCGAGUAGUCCCUGUCUCUUAUAC
rnacentral:rRNA from 1 species